rnacentral:lncRNA from 1 species
AAAAAGAAAGAAAGAAAAUACUGGUAUAUAUCCAGAUGCAGUGGGCUACAAAACGUGGAAUGAUCAUUAAUUCCUGUUAUAUUUCUUUUUUUUCUGUAGCCUUGGAUCCUUAGACUCACCAAUAACUGAAGCUACAGUGAUUACAAACCUGAUAGAACCUCACAAUUUGAACAGAAAAGGAGGAGACAAAAUUGCAGCGUGUGUUUGGGGCAGAGGUCAGGAAGGCUGAGAUGUAGACCACAUCUGCAUCUUUUGGGCCAGCAGCCUUUGGAAUGAUCAGGGAACAGUGAGUGUAGGAGCUUGUCUUAUAGCUGCUGCGCCUAUCCCAACCUUUGCCCCCAGUUAUCUCAUUUAGAAAACCCUCUGGCUCCAGGGGUCCUUCUACUGCCUCCAUGUAAUAGAUGUCUGCAUGAGUCAGGGGUAGAAACUCCACCCCUCCAGGGGUGAGGGUCUUAAUCCACAAUGAGCUGCAGGUGUUUCCAAGGACAAACUUUAGUCUCAGAUCACAUUCAUAUCAGAGGUCCUAGGUCACCCAGUUCACUUUCCAGGAUCAUAUACAUUCUUUCAUUAGGGUCACAAGAGAUACAGUAACUUCUGCAUGGUCUUCUGAUCCAUGCCCAUUGUGAGCAAGAGUGACUGAUUCAGACAGAUACAGGACAGGAUAUGAUUCGAUCUUCUAACAUCACACUGAUUAUCAGGAAUACAAAGUAAAGGAGGAACAUUGUGAAGCCCAGGAUCUUGUUCAUUCUCCAUUUACAUGACGCAAUUGAAGAGAUCACAAACAGAAGCAUGAGAAAAAGCAAAACAAUUGCACAAAACAAGCCAUUGCUGCUGACUGGAACUGGCUGUAAUCCAUUGAUAAGAGAGAAAAGCAACCAAGGAACAGGCAAGCUGCAAGAUUGAAGAAACGAUGUGAAUAGAAACUGCACGAAUUCACUUGAUCCUCGAGAUUCCCUGAGUACCGGAGAUUGAUCCUGAAGGAAAGUGUCGUUGGGACCUGCUGGUAGAGGAUUUCGUUCCUGCUGUUCACUCACCUGGUGAGCCCACCACACCAUGAGGCCUAAAGGAAAUCCUUGGUGUAGAGGGCACUAAUGGAUCUCCCCAGAGCAGGCUGGGACAUCCCAAGAUACCUGAGGAGUUGGCGCCCUGAGCCCCCCGCGCCUCCAGCCCAUGACUUGGAGCUGAUCAAAGUGGGAGUAGGAGUACCUGGGUGCAUGAUGCUUUGGGUUACUUUCAUCUGAAAUAGCAGUUAAUCCUCACAGCCUCACCUCUACCCUGCUUCACCUUGAGUGGCCUGGAACAGUAAGAAGGUCACGAGCUCCCUCUGCUGAAGCCCACAGAAGGGCCCACCCACUGUGGAAGAGCUGGCUUCAUCUCUGAGUAUGCUGGGGUCACUCUGGAUGUUGGAAGCCUGGGAUCAGGACCUGAGGUCUGCUAGUUACAUGUCCUUGCCUUUAUGCUGCUGUGGGCAGAACAAAAUCUAGUUCUUUCCCUUUUCAUGCCACUAUGUAACACAGUCUCAAUCUGGCCCAGAAAGAUGAAAAAAGGAAUAUAAUUCACAAAGUAAAAUGAGUGAUCUUUUUUCUGAAAUAACUCCUCUAUUUUUACAAUGUUGUUUAUUCAAUAUAAAAAA